rnacentral:snRNA from 1 species
GCUUGCGUAUGGAAUUCAUAUACUAAAGUUGGGACAAUACAGAGAAGAUUAGCAUGGCCCCUGCGGGAAGAUGACGUGCAAAUUCGUGAAGCUUUCCAUAUUUAU